UUAACAUCCUUUGAUUAAAACUAGCUUUGCCUAAUAAGUGUAUCCAGUCUGGUGGUCACUGUCACACCACUGUUGAUUAAAUUAUGAAUGUAAAAAAAACAAAACGUUGAGCCAGACUCACCGUGGCUUCACAUUAAAUAGAAACAAUUUCGCUAAUGAUAUCAGCUCUCCUGCUUUGUAAGACUAACUUAGGUAGCUAGCAGGAGCGGAUGGUUUAGAUCUUAAGUCCUGGUGAAAAACAGCGACACUAAAAUACCAAAGAAGAGCUAAAGCAGUGGGUGCUUUUUUCUUCAAAUAACGCCAACACAUCACUACAGUUACCUGCAAUGAGGGAUGUUGUCUGUCAUACCGACCCACCACAGAGACACACUGUUGGACUCUUAAGCCUCACAUCAGAAGUGCAGAUCAUCUGAGUGACCUGAUGAAGCUCAGGUGUUCCUGGACCCAUCAGAGGAGGAAGUUAUUGCUUGGCAGGUGCCAUGCCUCAGUCAAGCGACAACCUGAAGACAACACAGCGGCCAGCAGCAUCAGAAAAGUCUGGGUAUCCACAGGAAAAUGUGUCAGGAUGACCACUGUGACCUGAGAGCUCCAUUACCAGCUGACACUUCAGUAUACCAGAAACCCUAUACCUCGAUGGAGGACAUGGACAGUUUACAUAAGAGUUAUGGCUUUGCUACUUUGUGCAUUAUACUGUAUAAACAAAAUUUAUAUUUCCAUUUCAUUGGCUAUGAAAUACCACAGGGUCCUGUGGUAAAAAUAUAUCAUGUUCUUUCACAAAGA